rnacentral:ncRNA from 1 species
AAACGCGGAAAUAAAAACACAGCCCGGUCGGUAGUCCGGGCGCGGCCUGUGGGCCGUCAGUAACCUGCCUCCUUGGUUGUCCGUUUUCCGUGGGAAACAU